GGCAGUGUGGUGUAAUGGUUUCAGCACUGGACUAUGGCUCUGGAGGCUUGGGUCCAAAUCCCCACUUGGCCA